CGAAGGGUGCGAGCGUUGUUCGGAAUUAUUGGGCGUAAAGCGCACGUAGGCGGCCUUGUAAGUCUCACUGUGAAAGUCCGGGGCUCAACCCCGGGAUGCCAGGGGAUACUGCGAGGCUGGAGACAAGCAGAGGUUGGUAGAAUUCCGGGUGUAGCGGUGGAAUGCGUAGAGAUCCGGAGGAAUACCAGAGGCGAAGGCGGCCAACUGGGCUUGUUCUGACGCUGAGGUGCGAAAGCGUGGGGAGCGAACAGGAUUAGAUACCCUGGUAGUCCACGCCGUAAACGAUGGACACUAGAUGCCGGCGGGAACGACCCCAUCGGUGUCGAAGCUAACGCAUUAAGUUCUCCGCCUGGGAAGUACGGUCGCAAGACUA
rnacentral:rRNA from 1 species